GAUGAAGAACGUAGCGAAAUGCGAUACGUAAUGUGAAUUGCAGAAUUCAGUGAAUCAUCGAAUCUUUGAACGCAUAUUGCGCUCUCUGGUAUUCCGGAGAGCAUGCUUGUUUGAGUAUCAGUAAACACCUCAACUUCCAUAUCUUUUUUGAAAUGGGAGUUGGACUUGAGUGAUCCCAACGCUUUUCCUCACCGAAAAGUGGCGGGUUACUUGAAAUGCAGGUGCAGCUGGACUUUUCUCUGAGCUAUAAGCAUAUCUAUUUAGUCUACAUAAAAAACAGAUUAUUACCUUUGCUGCAGCUAACAUAAAGGAGAUUAGUUCUUGUGCUGACUGAUGCAGGAUUCACAAAGACAGCUUCGGCCGACUUUGUAAACUCGAUCUCAAAUCAAGUAAGACUACCCGCUGAACUUAAGCAUAUCAAUAAGCGGAGGA
rnacentral:misc_RNA from 1 species